rnacentral:tRNA from 1 species
GUUCCUUCUAGUGUAAAGAACACUUUAAUUUUUCAUGUUAGAAAUAGAGGAAACCUCUGGAGGGGCU